UUAUGGUUUUAAAAAUUUAUUUUAAAUUUAUUUUACAUAUAAAUUUUAGUGUUAUUUUUAAAUUAUUUUAAUAAUAUUUAAAUUUAAAAAGUAGUAAUUAAUAUUAAAUUAUUUAAGAAAUUAAGAUUUAGUAAUAUUUUAAUUAAUAACAAAUUUUGUGCCAGCAGUUGCGGUUAUACAAAAAUUAAAUUAAAUUUUAUUAGUAAUUAAUUAAUAGAAAUAUUUUAAAAUAAUAUAAAUUUUAAAUUAUUAGGUAAAAUUUUAAUUUAAUAAAAUUUUAUUUAAAAUUGUUUAUGAUUUAAUAAAUUUUAUAAAAAACUAGGAUUAGAUACCCUAUUAUUAAAAAUUAAAAUUAAUAUACUAAAAUAGUAAAUAAUUAUUUAUUGAAACUUAAAUAAUUUGGCGGUAUUUUAGUUCAUUUAGAGGAAUCUGUUUAAUAAUUGAUAAUCCACGAAUAAAUUUACUUAAUUUAUAAUUUUGUAUAUCGUUGUUAAAAAAAUAUUUUUUAAUAAAUUUAAUAUUUAAAAAUUUUUAUAAUAAAUUAAAUCAGAUCAAGAUGCAGAUUAUAAUUAAGAAUAUAAUGGAUUACAAUAAAUUUAUUUAAAUGAAUAUUAAUUUGUAAAAAUUAAUUGAAAGUGGAUUUAAAUGUAAUUUUAUUUAAUUUAAUAAAAUGAUUAAAAAUUAAAAUAUGUACAUAUUGCCCGUCGCUUUCAUAUAUUAAUAAAUUGGAAUAAGUCGUAACAAAGUAGAGGUACUGGAAAGUGUUUCUAGAAUGAA
rnacentral:ncRNA from 1 species